GGGACACCUUCCAGUAUAUCAGGUUACCCAAAGCCCCAUCCAGCCUAACCUUGAACACUCCCAGGGUUAAGGCAUUCACAGCCUCUGUAUGCAAACUGUUCCAGUGCCUCACCACCCUCAUAUUGAAGAAUUUCUUUCCAAUGUCUAAUCUAAAACUACUCUCCCUAGAUUAAAAGCUAUUCCCUCUUGUCCUAUCACUUAAUGCCUUUGUAAAGAGUUCUCUCUGGCUUUCUUGUAGUCCCCUGUUUUAGAUACUGGAAUGUCAUUAUCAGGUCUCCCCCAAGCCUUUUUUUCUCCAGGAUGAACAGCCCCAGCUCUCACCCUGUCUAGAUUUGAAUCCAAACCAUGUUACUAAGUCCCUGCCUAGAGGAGAACAGAUUUAGAUUUUUUUUCCCCAGGAAAUUAAAAAGAUUAACAGAGUUUCAGUCAUAAAUCUAGCCUCAUACUUGGUAACAGAACUAUAGGAUAUGUUUAAAGUGUUCAGAUUCAGAAAACUUAACAUACUCUUAAGCAAACUCCCAUCUUUAAAAAUAGAGUAAAUCUUUAACUGAUAUCUUCAUAAAUCUCACAUGUUCAUAUUUGUGUUUUUAUUUGGGAUUGAAAACACUGAUGAAACCAUAUAGAGCUCUAACUGAAAAUUACCACUUACCUUUGGCAGCAGGACUGCAUCUGCAGACUAUGCUGAAAUGCUGAUGUACAUGUCCCUGACUCAUCCCAUUUAAAAAUAAUACUGAGGGUUCUGGCAGAUGUCUUGUAGCAGCUUCCAGUGGUUAUUACAAUAUAAAGGUGAGCAACUGCCUAAACACAGAACCCAAUUGCUGACAGCUGAUAGGAAUAAUUGUUGGAGCAAAUCUUUGAAUAGUGGGUCUUAGAAUAUAAACUGUCGUGCCCAAUUUCACUGACUGACAGUUUUUAGUAUUUGAGUAGGUAAAGCACUGUGAAAAUUCUUCACUUCAUAAGCAUUUUGAAAGUGAUUUUUGACAUAUAAACUUUUGGCAGCAAUUUUCAAGGGGGUCAUCUAAAAUGACUGAUACAGUAGUUAGUGUGAUGCAGGCAUAGCACAUUUAACAGUCACUGAGCUUCGAAUAUGACACAGUAUGAUCCUAAUUACAGCACUGCUAGCAAGGCAUAAAGAAGUUGCUCAUAGUGCUUGACAUGUAUUUUAUGACUAUGAAAAAAGAAAGACUUCAACUAGUAAAAUUAGGACAGAGCACAAAGCUUUGCUACAUUUUACAGAUAAGAAAAUGACAUUUACUGGCAUGAAAAAGAUGUUGAAAAGGGAAAAUAAGGUAAAUCCCAACUUGGGUUGUUUUUGGGGAUUCUGAGUUAUAUAUAUUCUAAAUUAUGUAUAAUCUAUAUGUCACAAAUGUCACAAAAUAUUUACAGCAUAUUGCAGUUUAGGUUUUCCUACAUGCUAAGAAAUAUGGAAGUUGAAGCAACAAGAUUUGGAUUCUGGGGCCAGCUCCCAUGCCAAAAUUCAGUGGUGUGAGGAAUUGCUUCUGUUAGGUGUUCUCUUAUUAUAGCAAUGGACAUUAUUUAUAUCAAGAGUGACCUUGGCUCUAUGGUUUUAAUUCUGUUCCACUGAUGGCUUUUCACUUGAACUGCUCAAUUCACAUGGACCUGAUGAGUCAUUUUUGUGAAUACUUUUACAGCUACAAAAUGGCUAAUUAAAUAGCUGUGUAAAAUUCUUCCUGGAAAUAUUCUUUCUGAAGGGAAUCUAGUGAGCUUUCUUACUGUGUUUUGUACACGUAUGCAAAGGGUGAGAUCCAGAAAAAUUACCUUUGGCAUAAGACCUACAGAAAAUAUUUCAGAUCUGACCUUCUUUUCCCUAAAAAACAUCCCAAUCAGUUUUCUGCACCAUUUCUCUAUUUUUUAAAAUUGAUAGCACAUUUUCUUAUGUGCAAUUAAAUUUUAAAGGAUAAAUAUUUGUUUAGAACAGAUUUUCAGUUGUUUUCUUUUUCUCCUCUUGAAUUUACUAUUCAAGCCUCUGUCUUCUAUUGUCAUUUUUUCUUCUUCACCUUUUAGAAAAAGAAACAUUUUACAUCCCAGAUUCAUGAAUCCUUCUGAGGCAUGAUGUUUUAAAGCUGGGCUGGUGGACCUGAAGUCAUGAUGAUCAGCAAAGUACAGGAACUGAGAGUCUGUGUUGAAGAAAGCCAUUGGAUCAAGACUUUCAGAGAUUGAACUGUCUUCGUAUUUAAAAAAGUGUCCACCUUAAAGCCAAGAUUAAGGUCUCGGGCAGGGCCGGAUUCAAAGGAUUCAGUGGAUACAUAUCAUUCUGGGCUGGUUGUGUGUUACAGAUAAAAGUUUAUUUGCCAUGAAGACAGUAGAUUUUUCUGGGCAGAACACACAGCCAGAAAAGAUGAGCAGAUAUUGAAUUUCCUUAUUGGUUUUGUUAGUUAAAAAAGAAAAUUGGAUUGGUUACACCCAUAUGGUAUUUUGCAUAAUGUAUUUAUAAUGUAAUUAUAUUUAUUAAUGAUAUAUGAAUAUUGCUAUUAAGGUUCAUAUUUACAGAUUAAAAAAAAAUCUUCAUUAAGUUAUCUUUCAAAGAAAAUCCCCAUGAAUAAUCUCAAAGUCAAAAAUGUGCUCAUGGAAACAAGUGAGAUAUUAUUUCACCCUUGUAUUUCUUCUCAUCCAUAUAUACACCUUUUUAAACAACAUGUGUCAUGUCUGCACUCAGCAGUGACGCGGAAACCAGAGGCUAAAAGCUCUGGAAUAAGAAACAGCCUGUGUUAGCAAAUAGCCCUGAAACUAGUACAAAGGGAGAGUGCUCCCAAAUGCAAACUUCUGCAUCAGAAUUGUGUGCUGCACCAUUAAUGGCCCUGAUCAGCAUUAACUGUGGCUCUGCUCUAAGGUGUAAACCUCAAAUGGCAAGGCAAACAAUGCCCUGAAGACUUCAUAACACUGAGAGGUCAACUGGUCAGCACAGCAAUAAAGGACACAUAGUAAGUUACAAAUACAGAGCAGUGAAACGUGACUGUGUUUCUUUUCGUCAGUCCUUUCCUUUACCAGAGGCAUCUAAAGGUAAUGCAAAAGCAAUUGAAAACAAAAUAAUCAAGAGAUCACUCUGGCAAUCUUGAGGUAAGAUCACUGUUUCCAAUUAUUUUCCUCACAGUAAAACUGGGACAAGGAGAGAGGGUUUGCAUAGGCUUUAUUUACCAGACCUGCUGUUCAAUACAGUCCUGGUGGAAGGAAUUAUUGCUAGCAGAGCAUAUCACAGCCACCCAGCUAAGUACACCUAUGCUGCAAGUUCAGUACAUACCAAAUCAAGGACUGAAGAAGAGCCAAGCUACCUUUUCUGAUGAGCUGUAUUUUAUGCUCCUCAACUGCAAUCUACUAGCUCCACAGUCCAAAUUCCAGUAUGUACCAACAUUAUCUGCCAAGUGCUAGAAAAGUUUAGAACAGCUGAGGAAAAGCUCAAACAGUGAACAGCACUAGGUAUUAGUUACACAAGCCUGAUAUUCCUUCAUUGCUGAGCACCAAAAGAUCCCAGUUGUUGGCAGCCAGAGUUUUUUAUUUCUUUUCAUAGAAAAUGGUUGACAGUAAUUCUACCUACAGCUAAGCUGCUUCAGGAAUAAGUACCAAAAGGAGAUGAAUGGCACACAGACUUCGAGCUGGAAGCUGAGGUGAGCUAUAUAGAACAGAAAGAAGAUAUUGAAGGUCAUGCUCUAUGGUUAUCAGUACACUUUCUGAAUAGCAACACAGAAAUAGAAAAAAUCAUUUGAAAUCAAGAUUUCUUUAAAACAGGAAAGAGGAACAGUGAGGCACUUUUAUAUCUUGGUAUCACUCUAAUAAAUUCUACUGCAACAUACAAAAAGAAACAUUAAGAUGCAAUUCUACUUUGAAUGUAUGCAUAUAAUUGGCUCAAAUAUUAUCCAUAGUAAAACCAAGAGGAAACACUGACAUUAGUAUGACCAAUAUUUCAUACAGCAUGUGCUAAAUAGGUAACAUACUCACUUGACCAAAUAUGUAUGUGAAUAUUGUAACAUCACGGUGAAUUCUUGCAUAUUAAUCUUAUAUUGUUGAAUCCUUGCAUCUUAAUCUUAUAUUGUUAUCCUUCUAGGUUUUUUGUUUGUUUGUUUGUUUGUUUUUGUGGGUUUUCCUUUUGUGUUUUUGUUAGUUUUCUGUUCUUUUUUUAUUAUUAUUAUUCUUAAGAUCAUGCCAUUUCUCAUUACCAGAAAUUUGAAUACUCUUAUGAUUUUGAUUAAAAUCUUCUUAGAAGAAAUAAAUAGGAUGCAGUAGGCUGAAGAACUAUAGAAA